UACGUAGGGGGCUAGCGUUGUUCGGAAUUACUGGGCGUAAAGCGCGCGUAGGCGGCUUUGUAAGUUAGAGGUGAAAGCCCGGGGCUCAACCCCGGAACUGCCUUUAAGACUGCAUCGCUUGAAUCCAGGAGAGGUGAGUGGAAUUCCGAGUGUAGAGGUGAAAUUCGUAGAUAUUCGGAAGAACACCAGUGGCGAAGGCGGCUCACUGGCCUGGUAUUGACGCUGAGGUGCGAAAGCGUGGGGAGCAAACAGG
rnacentral:rRNA from 1 species